CAAACCGUUUGUAAAAUGAUAACAAAAUCAAAACAAAACAUUCUUACACCAUAAUCUUGAUUAUUAGUUAAUAAGUAUACAACUACUAGGAAGUUUUCGUGAAACAAUACAGUUGUUUUCGUUUAAAAAUCAUAUUCAGAGUAAUCUGCAAGGAUGUCUUCUUAUUCUGCUCUUCUUCUUUUUCCAAAACUUACACAGCUAGGUGCAGGCUUAGCAUCAUUGUUUCUUAUUGGUCAUGUAUGUUUCAAUGAUGGUUUAAAUUAUGAUAAAUUAAAUAAGAAAAAGAUGAUGAAGUCACAGAAAACAACUGAAUCCCCAAAAGCUGUUGAAAAGUCAAAUGUUCAGCCAAGAGUUAAUUUUUUAAUAUAAUUAUGAUCUGUAAUUGAAAAAAAAUUUGUCAUGUUAUGUAAAACUUUAUUAAAAUAAAGCCUCUUUAGUCACUUU